GGAAGGAUGGCAGAGUGGUCUAAUGCACCUGUCUUGAAAACAGGCGACCUGCGAGGGUCCGGGAGUUCGAAUCUCUCUCCUUCCGCCA
rnacentral:tRNA from 1 species